rnacentral:lncRNA from 10 species
CACUCCAGCCUGGUGACAGAGUGAGACUCCGUCUCAAAAAAAAAAAAAAAAAAAGUAACAUAUUUAGAGUUUCAAUAAUCAUUGAAAAAGUCUUUAAAAUGGUAUCUUUUAUGACGUCUCUACCUAUAAUUUUCAGACUUAAAAGUGAAAUGGAAAUACAAAUUAUUUGCUUUCCUUCUGGUGCAUAAAACAUAACAAAGCAUAGUAGAAGUUGUUUCCUGGUGUUACAGUUCUCUAAAGAUCUUCUCAGUUAUUCUGAAAGUUAAGCAUGACCAACAUCAAGAAUGUAGUGAGGAAAGUAAUAGUUUUUCUUCCUUUGUACUCUUUUCUCAUUCUUAAAUCCCUGUUCAUACUUCGUUGAGUCCCAGGGAUG